rnacentral:rRNA from 1 species
UGGGGAAUUUUGGACAAUGGGCGAAAGCCUGAUCCAGCAAUGCCGCGUGUGUGAAGAAGGCCUUCGGGUUGUAAAGCACUUUUGUCCGGAAAGAAAUCCUUGGCUCUAAUACAGUCGGGGGAUGACGGUACCGGAAGAAUAAGCACCGGCUAACUACGUGCCAGCAGCCGCGGUAAUACGUAGGGUGCAAGCGUUAAUCGGAAUUACUGGGCGUAAAGCGUGCGCAGGCGGUUUGCUAAGACCGAUGUGAAAUCCCCGGGCUCAACCUGGGAACUGCAUUGGUGACUGGCAGGCUAGAGUAUGGCAGAGGGGGGUAGAAUUCCACGUGUAGCGGUGAAAUGCGUAGAGAUGUGGAGGAAUACCGAUGGCGAAGGCAGCCCCCUGGGCCAAUACUGACGCUCAUGCACGAAAGCGUGGGGAGCAAACAGGAUUAGAUACCCUGGUAGUCCACGCCCUAAACGAUGUCAACUAGUUGUUGGGGAUUCAUUUCUUAGUAACGUAGCUAACGCGUGAAGUUGACCGCCUGGGGAGUACGGUCGCAAGAUU